CUCGUAGGCGGCCAACUAAGUCAUACGUGAAAUCCCUCAGCUUAACUGGGGAACUGCGUGUGAUACUGGAUGGCUUGGAUUUGGGAGAGGGAUGCGGAAUUCCAGGUGUAGCGGUGAAAUGCGUAGAUAUCUGGAGGAACACCGGUGGCGAAGGCGGCAUCCUGGACCAAUAUUGACGCUGAAGGAGCGGAAAGCCAAGGGGAGCAAACG
rnacentral:rRNA from 1 species